GCCGGAGUAGCUCAGUCGGUUAGAGCAGCGGAAUCAUAAUCCGCGUGUCGGGGGUUCAAGUCCCUCCUCCGGCA
rnacentral:tRNA from 4 species